UCGGACUUAGCGGCGGACGGGUGAGUAACGCGUAGGAAUCUGCCUGAUAGUGGGGGAUAACCCGGGGAAACCCGGGCUAAUACCGCAUACUCCCUACGGGGGAAAGCGGGGGACCGCAAGGCCUCGCGCUAUUGGAUGAGCCCGCGUCCGAUUAGCUUGUUGGUGGGGUAAAAGCCUACCAAGGCGACGAUCGGUAGCUGGUCUGAGAGGACGACCAGCCACACUGGGACUGAGACACGGCCCAGACUCC
rnacentral:rRNA from 1 species